UUCGCAAUGCCCGAAAGGGUGACGAAGCGACGCCGCGUGCGGGAAGAAGGCCUUCGGGUUGUAAACCGCUGUCGGGAGUUAAGAAAUGUAAGGAUGUUAAUAGCAUCUUUGCUUGACUAAGGCUCCGGAGGAAGCCACGGCUAACUCUGUGCCAGCAGCCGCGGUAAUACAGAGGCGGCAAGCGUUGUUCGGAAUUAUUGGGCGUAAAGAGUACGUAGGCGGCUAUGUAAGUCGGUUGUGAAAGCCUUCCGCUCAACGGGAGAACAGCAUCCGAUACUGCAUGGCUUGAGUGCGGGAGGGGAGAGUGGAACUUCUGGUGGAGCGGUGAAAUGCGUAGAUAUCAGAAGGAACGCCGGCGGCGAAAGCGGCUCUCUGGCCCAUAACUGACGCUGAGUGUGCGAAAGCUAGGGGAGCAAACGGGAUUAGAUACCCCGGUAGUCCUAGCCGUAAACGAUGGGCACUAAGUAGAGGGGUUUU
rnacentral:rRNA from 1 species